rnacentral:rRNA from 1 species
GGACAGAAAGACCCUAUGAAGCUUUACUGUAGCUUGGUAUUGGGUUCGGGCUUUGACUGCGCAGGAUAGGUGGGAGACUAUGAGGGUAUCCUUGUGGGGAUAUCGGAGUCAACGGUGAGAUACCACUCUGUCAAGGCUAGAAUUCUAACUUUCAGCCGUUAUCCGGCGAAAGAACAGUAUCAGGUGGGCAGUUUGACUGGGGCGGUCGCCUCCUAAAAGAUAACGGAGGCGCGCAAAGGUUCCCUCAGGCUGGUUGGAAAUCAGCCGGAGAGUGUAAAGGCACAAGGGAGCUUGACUGCGAGAGAGACAUCUCAAGCAGGUAGGAAACUAGGCCUUAGUGAUCCGACGGCGCUGAGUGGAAGGGCCGUCGCUCAACGGAUAAAAGUUACUCUAGGGAUAACAGGCUGA